rnacentral:rRNA from 1 species
GACGUAGGGCGCGAGCGUUGUCCGGAUUUAUUGGGCGUAAAGAGCUCGUAGGCGGCUUGUUACGUCGACUGUGAAAACCCGCGGCUCAACUGCGGGCCUGCAGUCGAUACGGGCAGGCUAGAGUUCGGUAGGGGAGACUGGAAUUCCUGGCGUAGCGGUGAAAUGCGCAGAUAUCAGGAGGAACACCGGUGGCGAAGGCGGGUCUCUGGGCCGAUACUGACGCUGAGGAGCGAAAGCGUGGGGAGCGAACAGG